CCAGACUCCUACGGGAGGCAGCAGUGGGGAAUAUUGCACAAUGGGGGAAACCCUGAUGCAGCAACGCCGCGUGAGUGAAGAAGUCAUUCGUGAUGUAAAGCUCUAUCAGCAGGGAAGAAAAUGACGGUACCUGAGUAAGAAGCCCCGGCUAACUACGUGCCAGCAGCCGCGGUAAUACGUAGGGGGCAAGCGUUAUCCGGAUUUACUGGGUGUAAAGGGAGCGUAGACGGCCAGACAAGUCUGAAGUGAAAAUCCAGCGCUUAACGUUGGAAGUGCUUUGGAAACUGCCGGGCUGGAGUGUGUGAGAGGAUAGUGGAAUUCCAGGUGUAGGAGUGAAAUCCGUAGAUAUCUGGAGGAACAUCAGUGGCGAAGGCGACUAUCUGGCACAUAACUGACGCUGAGGAGCGAAAGCGUGGGUAGCAAACAGGAUUAGAUACCCCGGUAUAG
rnacentral:rRNA from 1 species